CGCGGGGUAGAGCAGUUCGGUAGCUCGUCGGGCUCAUAACCCGGAGGCCGCAGGUUCAAAUCCUGCCCCCGCAACCA
rnacentral:tRNA from 1 species